GGAAUAUUGGACAAUGGGGGAAACCCUGAUCCAGCCAUGCCGCGUGUGUGAAGAAGGCCUUUUGGUUGUAAAGCACUUUAAGCGAGGAGGAGGCUACUUAGAAUAAUACUCUAAGAUAGUGGACGUUACUCGCAGAAUAAGCACCGGCUAACUCUGUGCCAGCAGCCGCGGUAAUACAGAGGGUGCGAGCGUUAAUCGGAUUUACUGGGCGUAAAGCGUACGUAGGUGGUCUUUUAAGUCGGAUGUGAAAUCCCUGAGCUUAACUUAGGAAUUGCAUUCGAUACUGGGAGACUAGAGUAUGGGAGAGGAUGGUAGAAUUCCAGGUGUAGCGGUGAAAUGCGUAGAGAUCUGGAGGAAUACCGAUGGCGAAGGCAGCCAUCUGGCCUAAUACUGACACUGAGGUACGAAAGCAUGGGGAGCAAACAGGAUUAGAUACCCUAG
rnacentral:rRNA from 1 species